rnacentral:rRNA from 1 species
GCGCACGCUGGCGGCAGGCUUAACACAUGCAAGUCGAGCGGGCCCUUCGGGGUCAGCGGCAGACGGGUGAGUAACACGUGGGAACGUACCCUUUGGUUCGGAAUAACGCUGGGAAACUAGCGCUAAUACCGGAUACGCCCUUUUGGGGAAAGGCUUGCUGCCGAAGGAUCGGCCCGCGUCUGAUUAGCUAGUUGGUGGGGUAAUGGCCUACCAAGGCGACGAUCAGUAGCUGGUCUGAGAGGAUGAUCAGACACACUGGGACUGAGACACGGCCCAGACUCCUACGGGAGGCAGCAGUGGGGAAUAUUGGACAAUGGGCGCAAGCCUGAUCCAGCCAUGCCGCGUGAGUGAUGAAGGCCUUAGGGUUGUAAAGCUCUUUUGUCCGGGACGAUAAUGACGGUACCGGAAGAAUAAGCCCCGGCUAACUUCGUG